rnacentral:rRNA from 1 species
UACGAGGGGGGCAAGCGUUGUUCGGAAUUAUUGGGCGUAAAGGGCGCGUAGGCGGUUUGACAAGUCUGAUGUGAAAUCUAUGGGCUCAACCCAUAGCCUGCAUUAGAAACUGUCGGGCUUGAGUAUGGGAGAGGUGAGUGGAAUUUCCGGUGUAGCGGUGAAAUGCGUAGAUAUCGAGAGGAACACCUGCGGCGAAGGCGGGUUGCUGGGCCGACACUGACGCCGAGGCGCGAAAGCUAGGGGAGCGAACGGG